rnacentral:rRNA from 1 species
GAAUCUCGUCUUUGGCACGGAUGUACCGGGGCUUUUGUGAUGCGCUCUCGAAGAGUCGAGUUGUUUGGGAAUGCAGCUCAAAAUGGGUGGUGAACUCCAUCUAAAGCUAAAUAUUGGCGAGAGACCGAUAGCGAACAAGUACCGUGAGGGAAAGAUGAAAAGCACUUUGGAAAGAGAGUGAAACAGUACGUGAAAUUGUUGAAAGGGAAACGCUUGAAGUCAGUCGCGUCGACCGAGACUCAGCCUCGCCUCGGCUUGGUGUACUUCUCGGCUGACGGGUCAGCAUCAAUUUUGCCCCUUGGAUAAUGGCGAGGGAAAUGUGACACCUUUGCGGUGUGUUAUAGUCUCUCGUCGCAUGCAAGGGUCGGGAUUGAGGAACUCAGCACGCGCCUUUGGGCGUCGGGGCUUUGCCCACGAUACGUGCUUAGGAUGCUGGCGUAAUGGCUUUAAACGACCCGUCUUGAAACACGGACCAAGGAGUCUAACAUGCCUGCGAGUGUUCGGGUGGAAAACCCGUGCGCGCAAUGAAAGUGAAAGUUGAGAUCCCCUCAAGGGGAGCAUCGACGCCCGGACCAGAGCUUCUGUGACGGAUCCGCGGUAGAGCAUGUAUGUUGGGACCCGAAAGAUGGUGAACUAUGCCUGAAUAGGGUGAAGCCAGAGGAAACUCUGGUGGAGGCUCGUAGCGAUUCUGACGUGCAAAUCGAUCGUCAAAUUUGGGUAUAGGGGCGAAAGACUAAUCGAACCAUCUAGUAGCUGGUUCCUGCC